rnacentral:rRNA from 1 species
UACGUAGGGGGCAAGCGUUGUCCGGAUUUAUUGGGCGUAAAGAGCGCGUAGGCGGCCAGGCAGGUCCGUUGUGAAAACUCGAGGCUCAACCUCGAGACGCCGAUGGAAACCGACUGGCUAGAGUCCGGAAGAGGAGAGUGGAAUUCCCGGUGUAGCGGUGAAAUGCGCAGAUAUCGGGAAGAACACCCGUGGCUAAGGCGGCUCUCUAGUACGGUACUGACGCUGAGGCGCGAAAGCGUGGGGAGCGAACAGG